rnacentral:rRNA from 1 species
GACGAACGCUGGCGGCGUGCUUAACACAUGCAAGUCGAACGGGCCUUGUCCCCUUUUUUUUGGGGGUGGGGUUAGUGGCGAACGGGUGAGUAACACGUGAGUAACCUGCCCCUCACUUCUGGAUAACCGCUUGAAAGGGUGGCUAAUACGGGGUGUUCUGGCCUGCUCGCAUGGGUGGGUUUGGAAAGAUUCGACCGGUUUUGGUUGUUUUGGUGGGGGAUGGGCUCGCGGCCUAUCAGCUUGUUGGUGGGGUGAUGGCCUGCCAAGGCUUUGACGGGUAGCCGGCCUGCGAGGGUGGGCGGUCACACUGGGACUGAGACACGGCCCAGACUCCUACGGGAGGCAGCAGUGGGGAAUAUUGCACAAUGGGCGCAAGCCUGAUGCAGCGACGCCGCGUGAGGGAUGGAGGCCUUCGGGUUGUGAACCUCUUUCGCCAGUGAAGAAGGUCCUGCUCUUUGUGGUGGGGUUGACGGUAGCUGGGUUAAUGAAGCGCCGGCUAACUACGUG